AAUUAAAUGGCUGCAGUAUUUUGACUGUACAAAGGUAGCAUAAUCAUUUGUCUUUUAAUUGAGGACUGGUAUGAAUGGUUGGAUGAAAAAUAUACUUUCUUUAUUUUAUAUAAAAAAAUUGAUUUUUUAGUCAAAAAGCUAAAAUAAUUUUAUAGGACGAGAAGACCCUAUAGAACUUUACUUAUAUUAAUGUAUAUUAUUUAUAUAUUUUUAAAAUAGUAUAUAUUAAUAUGAUUUUUGUUGGGGUGACAAAAAAAAUUAUAUAACUUUUUUUAAUAAGUUCACUUAUAUGUGAUUUUUUGAUCCUUUAAUAUGGAUAAUAAGAUUAAGUUACCUUAGGGAUAACAGCGUUAUUUAUUCGGAGAGUUCAUAUCGAUGAAUAAGUUUGCGACCUCGAUGUUGGAUUAAAAUAAGUUACAGGGGUA
rnacentral:rRNA from 1 species